rnacentral:lncRNA from 10 species
CAGGUCUCCUGUGUCUUCUGGAUGAUGCACGCAUCAGCAAUCCUUGCCACAAGGGGGCACUGUGUGACACCAACCCCGUCAAUGGGCAGUAUAUUUGCACCUGCCCAGAAGAUGUGGACGACUGUGUCAUGGGGGAGUACCCAGAACCUUUCCUAUUCCUUGGAGUGUCUAUCGAACUCAGCAAGUGUUUAAACAGAGGCACAUUUUACUGUUAGAGCAAGUUACACCCAAACCUCGGAUUUCUCUUGCUACACCUGCAGUGUUUACAACUAACCUUUCAGCGUAACCAUAACCAUAUAUUUCAAUCUCGUGAUUAAACAUAUGGAAGGUAUGCACUUGAUUCUUAAUAUAAAGCCCCACUUCAGUGAUAGUUUGGGUAAAAGAAUAGCAGAAACGCACAUCUCUCUCUCUCAUACACACACACACACCCCUACACAUACACACACACACUUCUCCUCUCUUCUAGUUAGAGGGUAGAAUUGGAAAUUAAGAAUUAAGAAUUAGAUUAUAAAAGGCCUGGCCACUUUGCCAGAUUGAUACUGAUGAUUGUUCCAGUACUCGUGUCCGAAUGGGGCAAAGCAUACCGAUCACCCGAAUAGCUAUGAAUGCCAGUGUGCCACAGGU